rnacentral:rRNA from 1 species
AAUGAACGCUGGCGGCAGGCCUAACACAUGCAAGUCGAACGGAUCCUUCGGGAUUAGUGGCGGACGGGUGAGUAACGCGUGGGAACAUACCCUUUGGUACGGAAUAGCCUCGGGAAACUGGGAGUAAUACCGUAUGUGGUCGAGAGACGAAAGAUUUAUCGCCAAAGGAUUGGCCCGCGUUGGAUUAGGUAGUUGGUGGGGUAAUGGCCUACCAAGCCGACGAUCCAUAGCUGGUUUGAGAGGAUGAUCAGCCACACUGGGACUGAGACACGGCCCAGCCUCCUACGGGAGGCAGCAGUGGGGAAUCUUAGACAAUGGGGGAAACCCUGAUCUAGCCAUGCCGCGUGAUCGAUGCAGGCCUUAGGGUUGUAAAGAUCUUUCAGGUGGGAAGAUAAUGACUGUACCACCAGAAGAAGCCCCGGCUAACUCCGUGCCAGCCGCCGCAGUAACAC